UACGAAGGGGGCUAGCGUUGUUCGGAAUUACUGGGCGUAAAGCGCACGUAGGCGGAUCGUUAAGUCGGGGGUGAAAUCCUGGAGCUCAACUCCAGAACUGCCUUCGAUACUGGCGAUCUUGAGUCCGGAAGAGGUGAGUGGAACUCCUAGUGUAGAGGUGGAAUUCGUAGAUAUUAGGAAGAACACCAGUGGCGAAGGCGGCUCACUGGUCCGGUACUGACGCUGAGGUGCGAAAGCGUGGGGAGCAAACAGGG
rnacentral:rRNA from 1 species